UAAAAGGGCUUCUGCUAUGUUUGGCACAUGGUCGGUGAGGGACUCUCGCCUGCUGUGCGGAAUCGCCAUCAAUAGAUUUCGGAAGCAAAAUUUUUAAAUCUGGAGGCUGCUGGUGAUCAAAAGUCCUGGCGCCUCU